rnacentral:rRNA from 1 species
AGGGCACCACCAGGAGUGGAGCCUGCGGCUUAAUUUGACUCAACACGGGAAAACUCACCCGGCCCGGACACUGGAAGGAUUGACAGAUUGAGAGCUCUUUCUUGAUUCAGUGGGUGGUGGUGCAUGGCCGUUCUUAGUUGGUGGAGUGAUUUGUCUGGUUAAUUCCGAUAACGAACGAGACUCUAGCCUACUAAAUAGAUCGUCGGCUUACAAACGCCGACGAGACUUCUUAGAGGGACAGGCGGUGAUUCAACCGCACGAAACAGAGCAAUAACAGGUCUGUGAUGCCCUUAGAUGUCCGGGGCCGCACGCGCGCUACACUGAAGUGAUCAGCGUGCUUUUUCAACCUACUCUGUCAAGAGUGGGGAACCCAAUGAACCUUCUUCGUGAUUGGGAUAGGGGAUUGUAAUUAUUCCCCUUGAACGAGGAAUUCCCAGUAAGCGCGGGUCAUAAGCUCGCGUUGAUUACGUCCCUGCCCUUUGUACACACCGCCCGUCGCUACUACCGAUUGAAUGUUUU